rnacentral:rRNA from 1 species
AUGGCGAACGCCGCGCAGCGGCCAUGCAGCAUCUGCAUGGAGCCCAUGGCGCCCUCGGAGGCCCACCGCGGCGGGAGCGCCUGCGCGCACGCCUUCUGCGGGGCGUGCCUGACGGGCCACGUCCGCGCGAAGCUCGAGUCCGGCCGCGCCGGCGCCGUGGGGUGCCUCGACGCGGCGUGCGCCGGAAAGCUCGACCCGGAGCUCUGCCGCGCCGCGCUCCCGCGCGACCUGUUCGAGCGGUGGUGCGCCGCGCUGUGCGAGUCCAUGUUCGCCGGCGCGCGGCGGACCUACUGCCCGUUCCCGGACUGCUCCGAGAUGAUGGUGGCUGACGGCGACGGCGACACCGUGACGCAGUCCGAGUGCCAGGUAUGCAGGCGGCUGUUCUGCGCCCAAUGCCGCGUGCCGUGGCACGCCGGCGUCGACUGCGCCGCGUACAGGCACCGGGACACGGCCAGGGAGGAUGCGAUGCUGAUGGAGAUGGCCGCGGGGAGGAAGUGGAGGAGGUGCUCCAAGUGCCAGUUCUUCGUGGAGAAGACCGACGGCUGCUUGCACAUCACAUGCAGGUGCGGCUACCAGUUCUGCUACGGGUGUGGCUCGCAGUGGGCUACGUCUUGUUCCGGCGGCUGCACCAAUUAG